GUAGGUGAACCUGCGGAAGGAUCAUUAUUGAAAUAAACCUGAUGGGUUGUUGCUGGUUCUCUAGGGAGCAUGUGCACGCCUGGUCAUCUUUAUAUCUCCACCUGUGCACCUUUUGUAGACCUUCCGGGUCUAUGUUGCUUCAUUUACCCCAAUGUAUGUUAAUAGAAUGUUGUGACUAUAUAAAAAUAUACAACUUUCAGCAACGGAUCUCUUGGCUCUC
rnacentral:misc_RNA from 1 species